rnacentral:tRNA from 1 species
GGCAGUGCAGCUAAUGGACAGAGUCCUGGACUGGGGCUCAGGAGUCCUGGGUUCUAGUCCUAGCUCUGCCA